rnacentral:rRNA from 1 species
CGAACGGAGCUUAGAGAGCUUGCUUUUUAAGCUUAGUGGCGAACGGGUGAGUAACGCGUGAGUAACCUGCCCUAGAGUGGGGGACAACAGUUGGAAACGACUGCUAAUACCGCAUAAGCCCACGGUACCGCAUGGUACUGAGGGAAAAGGAUUUAUUCGCUUUAGGAUGGACUCGCGUCCAAUUAGCUAGUUGGUGAGGUAACGGCCCACCAAGGCGACGAUUGGUAGCCGGACUGAGAGGUUGAACGGCCACAUUGGGACUGAGACACGGCCCAGACUCCUACGGGAGGCAGCAGUGGGGGAUAUUGCACAAUGGGGGAAACCCUGAUGCAGCGACGCCGCGUGGAGGAAGAAGGUUUUCGGAUUGUAAACUCCUGUCGUUAGGGACGAUAAUGACGGUACCUAACAAGAAAGCACCGGCUAACUACGUGCCAGCAGCCGCGGUAAAACGUAGGGUGCAAGCGUUGUCCGGAAUUACUGGGUGUAAAGGGAGCGCAGGCGGGAAGACAAGUUGGAAGUGAAAACCAUGGGCUCAACCCAUGAAUUGCUUUCAAAACUGUUUUUCUUGAGUAGUGCAGAGGUAGAUGGAAUUCCCGGUGUAGCGGUGGAAUGCGUAGAUAUCGGGAGGAACACCAGUGGCGAAGGCGGUCUACUGGGCACCAACUGACGCUG